UGAAUGCAUUUGGACCCGUUGAUUGGC
rnacentral:sRNA from 1 species